rfam:Penicillium roqueforti FM164 genomic scaffold, ProqFM164S06
ACAUACGAUCAUAGGGUGUGGAAAAUAGGGCUUCCCGUCCGCUCAGCCGUACUCAAGCCACACGCCGGUGAGUUAGUAGUUGGGUGGGUGACCACCAGCGAAUCCUCACUGUUGUAUGUU